CCUACGGGAGGCAGCAGUGAGGAAUAUUGGUCAAUGGGCGAGAGCCUGAACCAGCCAAGUCGCGUGAGGGAGUACUGCCCUAUGGGUUGUAAACCUCUUUUGUCGGGGAGCAAAAGCCGGACGUGUCCGGCUGUGAGAGUACCCGAAGAAAAAGCAUCGGCUAACUCCGUGCCAGCAGCCGCGGUAAUACGGAGGAUGCGAGCGUUAUCCGGAUUUAUUGGGUUUAAAGGGUGCGCAGGCGGAUUUUUAAGUCAGCGGUCAAAUCGUGGGGCUCAACCCCAUCCAGCCGUUGAAACUGGGGAUCUAUAGUGUGCGAGAGGUAUGCGGAAUGCGUGGUGUAGCGGUGAAAUGCAUAGAUAUUAGGAGGAACACCAGUUGCGAAGGCGGCUCUCUGGACUGUAACUGACACUGAGGCACGAAAGCGUGGGGAGCAAACAGGAUUAGAUACCCUUGUAGUC
rnacentral:rRNA from 1 species